AUUGAACGCUAGCGGCAUGCUUUACACAUGCAAGUCGAACGAGCGGCGGACGGGUGAGUAAUGUAUGGGGACUGCCCGUUAGAGGGGGAUAACUACUGGAAACGGUAGAUACUACCGCAUACUACCGGAUAAUCCAUAUGGGAUUAGCUAGUAGGUGGGGUAAUGGGUCACCUAGGCGACGAUCCCUCGCUGGUCUGAGAGGAUGUUAAGCCACACUGGAACGUAGACACGGCCCAGACUCCUACGGAGGCAGCAGUGGGGAAUAUUGCACAAUGGGCGCAAGCCUGAUGCAGCCAUGCCGCGUGUAUGAAGAAGGCCCUAGGGUUGUAAAGUACUUUCAGUCGAGAGGCGUUACCGACAGAAUAAGCACCGGCUAACUACGUGCCAGCAGCCGCGGUAAUAC
rnacentral:rRNA from 1 species